rnacentral:misc_RNA from 1 species
GGUCUUGGCAUGACUUUAAUUGCAACUAUUGCCAGUAUUUGGAUUUCUUUUCUCUACUUAUGGUCUACUCUAUGGGUAUAAAAGCUGUACCAAGUUCAAGCACCCUGAAUUCGAUACAUCCGAAGUCCAUCAUCACCACUUUCAAUUCUUGAUAGGUGACUGCCACUCCUGUGAUCAAUUUGAUUCUCUGUGACUGUGCUUG